UUCUUAUAGCUGUUUGUCAUG
rnacentral:siRNA from 1 species